rnacentral:rRNA from 1 species
UGCGUAGGCGGGGCAAUUAGUCAGUGGUGAAAUCCUGCGGCUUAACCGUAGAACUGCCAUUGAUACUGUUGCCCUUGAGUAUAGUUGAGGUGGGCGGAAUGUGUAAUGUAGCGGUGAAAUGCAUAGAGAUUACACAGAACACCAAUUGCGAAGGCAGCUCACUAAACUAUCACUGACGCUGAGGCACGAAAGCGUGGGGAGCGAACAGGAUUAGAUACCCUGGUAGUCC